CCCUUAGAUGUUCUGGGCCGCACGCGCGCUACACUGAUGCAUUCAACGAGUUUCUUCCUGGUCCGAGAGGAAUGGGUAACCUUUUGAAAGUGCAUCGUGAUAGGGAUAGACUAUUGCAAUUAUUGGUCUUCAACGAGGAAUUCCUAGUAGACGUAGUUCAUCAGACUGCAUCGAUUACGUCCCUGCCCUUUGUACACACCGCCCGUCGCUCCUACCGAUUGAAUGCUCAGGUGAGCCAUUCGGACUUUCAUCAUGCUGGUUUCCAGUUUUGAUGAAGGAAAGUCUUGCGAACCUUAUCACUUAGAGGAAGGAGAAGUCGUAACA
rnacentral:rRNA from 1 species